GAUGAACGCUGGCGGCGUGCUUAACACAUGCAAGUCGAACGGGAAACCUUUUAUUGAAGCUUCGGCAGAUUUAGCUGGUUUCUAGUGGCGGACGGGUGAGUAACGCGUGGGUAACCUGCCUUAUACAGGGGGAUAACAGUCAGAAAUGGCUGCUAAUACCGCAUAAGCGCACAGAGCUGCAUGGCUCAGUGUGAAAGACUCCGGUGGUAUAAGAUGGACCCACGUUGGAUUAGCUGGUGGGUGGGGUGACGGCCCACCAAGGCGACGAGCCAGAGCCGGACUGAGAGGGGGAACGGCGACAUUGGGACUGAGACACGGCCCAGACUCGUACGAGAGGCAGGAGUGGGGAAUAUAGCACAAUGGGGGAAACGCUGAUGCAGCGACGCCGGGUGAAGGAAGAAGUAUCUCGGUAUGUAAACUACUAGCAGCAGGGAAGAUAAUGACGGUACCUGACGAAGAAGCCCCGGCUAACUACGUG
rnacentral:rRNA from 1 species